GACGAACGCUGGCGGCGUGCUUAACACAUGCAAGUCGAACGGUGACCUCGAGAGCUUGCUCUUGAGUGAUCAGUGGCGAACGGGUGAGUAACACGUGAGUAAUCUGCCUCUGGCUUCGGGAUAGCCACCGGAAACGGUGAUUAAUACCGGAUACGACACAUCACUGCAUGGUGCGUGUGUGGAAAGUUUUUUCGGCCAGGGAUGUGCUCGCGGCCUAUCAGCUUGUUGGUGGGGUAAUGGCCUACCAAGGCUUCGACGGGUAGCCGGCCUGAGAGGGUGACCGGCCACUGGGACUGAGACACGGCCCAGACUCCUACGGGAGGCAGCAGUGGGGAAUAUUGGACAAUGGGCGGAAGCCUGAUCCAGCAACGCCGCGUGAGGGAUGACGGCCUUCGGGUUGUAAACCUCUUUCAGCACAGACGAAGCGCAAGUGACGGUAUGUGCAGAAGAAGGACCGGCCAACUACGUGCCAGCAGCCGCGGUAAGAC
rnacentral:rRNA from 1 species